rnacentral:lncRNA from 1 species
AGAAGUCACUAUAGCAUUAAAACACAGCAGGGUGGGAGAAAUAAAAGGAAAACAAUAAAAACAAUGGCCCUUAAAAACCCAAGAGAAUGCCUCCUUUGGAAGUGUGUACUUUCUUAUUCAGAAAAGGUAUCACCUUAAUAAGAAUUAUAGGCAAAGAGGUUUCACUGUUCCAUGCUGUGUGGACGAAAAGAGGGAGAAAAGACUGACUUAUCAAAGGCACUGGCAGUUAUGAAAGACCUGAAGCAUACUCCAGUGAUCAGUUAGUGGAGAAUUAACUUCUGGAACAGUCUCAAAGAUUUUUCUUGAAAAAAAUGGCAAGAAAGGGAAGUGAGAUGGGUAUUUCAGCUAUCUUCUGGAGAUCAUCAAGCACAUGCCUUGUAAAAGAAGUCUUUUCAUUAUGUCAGCAAAGAAAUCUGCAAGAAAGAAAGUUACCUUUGACAGAGAUUUUAUGAAGACCUUCCAUGUCAGCAGGCACCUACCUGGAGCCAGAGUUAGAGUUAGACCCAACACCAUAGGCACACCUGAGUUGCCUGGAAAUCAGAUGAAGCUCAAAAGGCAAACUGGUCGUCUUCAGGAGCUAAUUUGACGGGAAAAGCUCUUCAAGAAACAGCUAGCCACUACAGAAGAAAACAUCUCCCAGAAAUAAAAAAUCCACCUCUUUUAUAUACUCAAAGAUUGUCUUAGUUUCCACAUUUAUUCUAAAUAAUAUUUUUUAGUAUAAAAUUACAUUGGAACAGUCUUGUUAGCUAUAUAUAUUCUCUUUAAAUCUUG